CCAGUGGCAUUGCCGGGUAGCUAUGUACGGACGGGAUAACCGCUGAAAGCAUCUAAGCGGGAAGCCCCUCCCAAGAUGAGGUCUCCCUGGGCACUUGAUGCCCCUGAAGGUCCGUCGAAGACCACGACGUUGAUAGGCAGGAUGUGGAAGCGCGGUAACGUGUGAAGCUAACCUGUACUAAUUGACCGUGCGGCUUGACCAU
rnacentral:rRNA from 1 species